rnacentral:lncRNA from 1 species
GGUGUUGUGAGUAGAGAAUGUGAUGAGAUGUGGGAAACUUCCCAGCUCCUUCUAGCAUGCUAGCCUGGAGCCUAUGCAAUGUUAGUUUUCCUGGAUUGUUUGUUUGUUUUUCUUUAUCCGGACCAAACUUUAGUGCUGAGGUAAGGGGACCAAGACCUCCAAGGGCAUAGAAGCCUUUUCAGAGAAAGAAGUCACUCACUACUGCCUGACUUCAAGUCUCUUCCCCGGGGUGUGCAGCCCACUAACAGGACUAUUCAGCGCCAUCCCCAUGGGGAAUCAUAAGUCACCGAAACAUCGUCUACGUGGCUGCUGUGCCCGAACUAUCCUUAAGGAGCACAUUUCUGUUAUGAGAUAGUAGAUGUCUGCCAGAAACUCCCAAGCACCAGACAAGUCUAAAUGUCCCACAGAAAGUCAUGGCUUACUCAUGGCUGGGUGGGUACGCACAAGCACUGUGUGCACACACAUACUGUGUGUAGGUGAGUGAGCCGUACCUGUGGAGACCAGAAGACAACUUGUGGAGGUUGGUCUCUUCCUUCCUUCUCUACCUGAGAUGCGGUGACUAAACUCAAGGUGUCAGGCUUGAGCUGCAGUCGCCUUUACCUGCUCAGACAUCUUACAUUCCCCAUUUAGUCUCCUCACAGAUAAUUAGGUACAGUUCUCGUGGCACAGUUAUGUUUUGCCAAAGCAUAUCCAUGUAAAGUCACAACCAGAAAUAAGACACGAUAUAGUUUUGUUACUCCCUAAACUCUCGUGCUCUCGUGUGUGUGUGUGUGUGUGUGUAUGUGUGUGUGUGUUAGUGAUGUAUGCAUGCAGACGCACACACCAGACCUGGUAUUAAUGUUUACUGCUUUCUUCUAUGGCAAGGUUCUCAACCUCCCUAAUGCUUCAGCCCUUUCGUACAGUUCCUCGGGUUGUGGAGACCCCGCCCCCAACUAUGAAAUCAUUUUGUUGCUACUUCAUAACUGUAAUUUUGCUACCGUUAUGAAUUACAAUGUGAAUAUCGGAGACACGGGACAUCUGAUCUGCAAUCCCUGUGGGGGCCAUGCCCCACAGGUUGGUCUCUCUGCUUUCCCUUCUUGUUAUUUUGAGACAGGGUCUCUCACUGAACCUGGAGCUUGCCAUUUGGCUUGGCUGAGUGGUCACCUAUCCCCAGGAUCUGCCCAUGUCUGCUGUGCUCCCCCAAUGCUGGAGUUACAGACACACAUGGCUGUGCCUGGCCUUUUACAAGUGUCCUGGGGAUAUGAGCUCAUGUCCCCUUGCUUGAGCAACACUUUACCCACUGACCCUCUCCCAGCCCGCUGUUACCCUUCUCUCCCUUCCUCUCCUCUAGCAACCACAGGUCUAUUUUUUCACAAUUAUCUUAAUUUUUUUUCCCAGAAAAUCAUAGAAACAGAAUUUUGUGUAAUACAUGGGACUAUGUGUUCUAACUCUGCAGUGGGAACAGUAAAACAUAGGGAAUUAUUGAAUUUCUUUUAGAAGCAAUAAAAUUGAAGCAGCUGCAAAAUACUUACAGAACUAUGAAAGUGCUGUGGAAUUUAUGUAGAAGCACAGUGCCACUUUCUAGGUGAGGACAUGGGUGGACAGAUUUGGGAAAUCUGAAACCCACAGAGAGUACGGCUUACUUUCCUGCCAUCACAGACAGACCUGUACAUUGGUGAUUGACUCCUAUGUGGGGGAAUCAUACAUAGAUUUUGUAUUUUAACACUCACUUAAAAUGUUAAAAGGAAUGAACAGAAGACAAAAUCCUUUUUACCACUCAAAUUCAAUUAUUGAUGCAUUUUUUAAUACUUCAUUCAGUGGUUUAGCCUUGAGUAUGUUUUCCUUGGUAGUAAGUGCAGGUUACAUAAUUUUUAUAUCUUUACUUGAAUCUAUACUAAAUGAUAAGUACAUUUCACACUAUACUCAAUUUUAAAAACAAAAUUACUAUAUUUUGCAAGCAGAUAAAUGCCUGCCUAACAGUUUUUGUUUGGAUUAUUAUUUCAUCACUCUCCAUUUUUCUUUUAUAAUUAAUAUUGAAAUAGUUAAGUCCAUGAGUAUAAAUUCAUUUUUAUUAUUAUCCCCUUGUGAUAGAUUAGAAUUAAGACUACAAGAUUGAAAUAAUUCAGAUUUUCGUGGAUCUGAACGAGCCACUUUGUAAAAUCCUGCAUCGCUUUGUAUUUCUCUUAUCAAGGCAAUUCUUCACACAUUUCUUUCUUGGUAAUUGCUGCAUGUUACUGCUAUUUCAAUUUUUUUUCUUCAAUGUAAUAGAUAUAUAAGCCACCAUGUGGUUGCUGGGAAUUGAACUCAGGACCUUUGAAAGAACAGCCAGUGCUCUUAACCACUGAGCCGUCUCUCCAGCCCCAAACUUUCUUAUUUUCAUCUGAGUGCCAGCCAGUGUUCAUCUCUCUCUGCCUCAUGAUUACAGACCUGAUGUGAGCAGCUGACUCUGGUCCUGCUGCUUUGCUUUCUCCAUCUUGAUGGGCUGGUCCCUGACUGCGAGCCAGAAUAAACCCCUCCCUUCCUUAAGCUGCUUUCUCAGGACUCUGUCACAGCUGGGAUAAAAGUAACACAACAAACCACAGAACUUUUGUUUUUGUUUUUAUUCAGACAGGGUUUCUUUGUGUAGCCUUGGCUGUCCUGGAACUCACCAUGUGGACCAGACUGACCUCUAAUUCAACGAAAUCCGCCUGCCUCUGCCUCCCUAGUGCUGGAAUUAAAGGCAUGUGCCACCACGCCUGUUGCAAGAACCCUUUAUAACCAAAACUUGCCUCAAGCAGUUGUUACAUCAUUGUGAUUUUGAUGCCAAUUUGAAUGAAUUUCUUCUUUAUCCUGGGCUGCUGCCUGUGCCUGGACCGUCCACUGCCCGACCAUACUGGCCCUUGGUGGUUGGAGUUGGGGUGGUGCAGAAUCAAUGACUCUGGUGGAGAAGGUGAGAGCGAAGCAGCAAGCUCCUCUGAGCACGGCUGCAAGCAUCUUUAAUACCCUCCACCCACACACCAUUGGUCCCAAGAAAGCAUCUCUUCUAAACAGCAGUUCCAGAUUGGCUGGCAAUGCCUGCGUCAGCAAUCCUCAGUCUCUCAGGCAGUCCUCAAUUAGGUCCUCCUUCAGGAGAUCCGUUUGAGGCUGUGCCCCACACUCUCCCCCUCCCCGUUUAUGUAGAGGCAGCUGCACAGUUCCUCCUACACUGGGCUACUUUGCAAAGGACGGAGAAAAAUCAUAUUCUAUGUUACUAAGUAUUGUAUAUUAUUCUCUGCAACAUAAUUUAAAUCACGUAGAAAGUACAUGAAAACUACGACCAUCUUUAACUUAAUAUUUGAAUUUUUCUCCUUACUGCAAUUAUCUUCUGUAUGAUAGUGUUUGGUGGCACAAAGCCCAGUGCCUUCAUCACAGCUAAAUUCGGUUCAUUUUUGCGGCCAUAAACCCUGCUGGUUUGAGUGAACGACAAUCUUUAUUCAAAUCAUAUUCAUAAAUCUGAAAGCUCGUUUUAUUCAUUUUUGUAACGGCAUUUAAAUUUAAUGCAUUUCUACAUGUGACUUGUUUUGAAUUUAAUUACAGAGCCAAAAUGCCACAUAUAAUUACAGAUGUAACAGGCACUCAGUUCUCUACCCAGACAACAUUACCCACGUAAUCUCUUAUGAGCCUUCUCUUCCUGCCAUUGGACCAAUACUGACAAAGUAUCAAAAUAGCAACUGCUAAGACAUCAUGCUUUAGUGCCCAGCUCACCUCUUGCUCCUCAUUUACGCCAGAGCUAUGUGCUGCUGCUAUUUAACACAGUUCAGGAAAUUUCACAAAACUAAUCUUCUUGGGAUGGACCUUUGAUCAAAGACAGACAAAUCUCAACCCAGGGGUCAUCUGAAAUUGAGUAGUAAUAAGACAUGUUUUCCUUUGUCAUGAGUUAAAUCUCUUUUUUUUUUAAAAUUAGGUAUUUUCCUCAUUUACAUUUUCAAUGCUAUCCCAAAGGUCCCCCAUACCCACCCCCCAAUCCCCUACCCACCCACUCCCCCUUUUUGGCCCUGGCGUUCCCCUGUACUGGGGCAUAUAAAGUUUGCAAGUCCAAUGGGCCUCUCUUUGCAGUGAUGGCUGACUAGGCCAUCUUUUGAUACAUAUGCAGCUAAAGACAAGAGCUCCCGGGUACUGGUUAGUUCAUAUUGUUGUUCCACCUAUAGGGUUGCAGUUCCCUAUAGCUCCUUGGGUAAUUUCUCAGCUCCUCCAUUAGGGGCUGUGUGACCCAUCCAGUAGCUGACUGUGAUCAUCCACUUCUGUGUUUGCUAGGCCCCGGAUGAGUUAAAUCUCUAAUGCACAUUUUAUACUCCAGAGAAAAAAGAUUCUACAGACUGGGAGCAUAAUUAUUUAUUUCAUGUGUUCAUGCUUGUGAACAAAGAUU